rnacentral:rRNA from 1 species
UUAUCCGGAAUUAUUGGGUGUAAAGGGUGCGUAGACGGGAAGAUAAGUUAGUUGUGAAAUCCCUCGGCUUAACUGAGGAACUGCAACUAAAACUGUUUUUCUUGAGUGCAGGAGAGGUAAGUGGAAUUCCUAGUGUAGCGGUGAAAUGCGUAGAUAUUAGGAGGAACACCAGUGGCGAAGGCGACUUACUGGACUGUAACUGACGUUGAGGCACGAAAGUGUGGGGAGCAAACAGGAUUAGAUACCCUGGUAGUCCACACCGUAAACGAUGGAUACUAGGUGUAGGAGAUAUUAAGUCUUCUGUGCCGUCGCAAACGCAAUAAGUAUCCCACCUGGGGAGUACGGCCGCAAGGUUGAAACUCAA